GAUAGUUUUUGCUUCAUGUAUUUUGGAUUGAAUGUCCAACAAUUCUUGGAGAAAAACUUUCUAUGGACUUGCUCUAUUUUUCAUCUGUUUGUUUACUGCUCAUCUAGGUUGUGAACCACUUUUCUUCAUGCAUGGCAUAUCUGGGACUAACUAACUGGUCUAUUAGCACAUUGUCUCACGUUGGCUAACUUGUAGCUGAUCCUUAAGGCUAUAUGAGAAUGAGAAGCCAUGAGCUCUGUUGUGCUCCACCACCGCAAAGGAUGCUGGUGCUGAAUCUGGUCCAUGGGGCUACUGAGAUCGAGGCUCUGAUGGCCAUUAAGGCUUCUAGUUUUGGUUGAAAAUCUUAGUUCAAAGAUGGGCCUUGAUGCACUUUUUCUUUGCUUGCUUGUUUU
rnacentral:misc_RNA from 1 species